ACUCUUUUACAACAGUUUUGGUUAUGGUGACUGAGAAACAAGGUGAAGAAACUGAAGAAUCAUUUUGUCACAUUAGCGUACCAAGCCAAGAUAACAAAAAGCAGUUGGCGUCUUUCGAUAUCACUCAAAAAGAAAUGUUAUAAAUGAAUAAAUUGGAUAUUGCGACAUUGGAUCAGUCGAUACCCACAACCCCACAGAACCUACAACUCUAGAUUUCUGCUUAUCAAAUGUUUAGGAAUGCAAUACUAUAGGAACGCGUUUUGGAUGAUAAAAAUCAUGAAGGAACCUACGUCACUCUGAUUGGUCACGUUAAUACAGCUGACUGCUGACCCCACCUCACUAGCACCCAACCAAGAUACGCAAUAACAACAACCUCGUUGGAGCCGACGAGGAAAAAAUUUGAUAGCUAAUGAAGUAUACGUUAUUUACACCUUACACGAAAUGAAAAAGACGACUGACGAACCAACAUGCCUAGUAAGGCAAGAUACAGCCACUAAAAUAACAGGUCCCACCUUGAUUUCUUCGCUAUAGUUUUCUUGAACCAUACUCUUUCAGCUGGGAGAGAUUGAUAAUCCGAUCCAGGAGAAAUAAUCCAUUCUUCACUUCACAUUUGUACCGAUGGGAUCUGGACAGUUUCAAACUACACUUUUGAUUUGACGACUUUGUUUCAACCACGUGCAAAUGGUACGAUUGGGCAAACCAAAAACACUAUAGAAAAGUUUAUGCAGAUGGAUUUGUUUUUCAAAUAAUUACUACAACCACACAACUUGGUUGAAACUUAUAUGUAAUAUAACACUAGUGAAAGCUUAAUCGAAGCUACAAACCGAGACCGAAACUUCUAUUAAUAAAAACAGACUGCAGGCGAUGCAGACGAACUUUCAAAAUUGGGAAGCGGCGAUGCCACUUUACGAAUCUCGACGUUGCUUAUUUGAAAAAUUAGAUAAAUAAUAAGUAAUAACUAGUUGAUUCAUGUUAUGUACUACCCUACGCUGCUACGCACCUAGUUAAUGAUACUUUUGAAGGCGAAAAUUCAGCGGUUUCCGGUGUAACUACAAGUCUACAACCAUAGGUAAACUACCCUACUGAUAGGCAAGCAGCACAAUCUCAGCAAAGGUGAAUACCCAGUGGCCUUUUAUUGACUACUGAUGACAACAUUACAAACUUAUCGGCACUUUUUCACGUCACAUUCUAAAUUUUGAAGCUGAGAUUUUAAGUAAACGAAUCGAAAAUUCAUUAUGAAAUGAAAAUAAAGACACAUGAAAUAUUAUGAAGUAGGAAGAUAAUAUGCACGAGUUACGUCGACGUUUA